AUGAGGUUUCAUUUUGCAUUUAAUGACUAUCACAAAGCGAAUACUAUCCCUUUUCUCUGCUUCUAGGGCAGAAACUCAUCUUUGCAGUGUCUUAGUCGAUUCUUCGAUUGCUGGCUUUUACUCUAGUUUCUCUCAGCCUCAAGGUCUAUUCUUCCGGGUACAUGGAGGCUUUUCGACUUUGGUCUAAUCUCUGAUGAUCAGUUACCCUGCCACCUCGGAAAUAUAUCAUCUUACUAAUUGUAAGAGUUACUCACUAUCUUUUAAUUUAACAUGAUAUUUAAUAAACUCACUUCUCAACAGUUUGCGCAGCCAACUCUGACUCCACUCACCAAAAUCAGAUAUUUGUGCUGUUUUAAACAAGUUCCGAUGAAUCUCAGAGGCACAUUCAGAAUGACACUUUGAACGCUUGAAAAACUUGACAUUUUCAAGCUACAUUUACGAAGCACAUGAUACAAAGACCACGGUGGAAAAGAUAGAAUUAGGUGCAACGAUCAAAUCACUCUGAAGUUUUUGAGUAUGGUUCGAAUAGUUGAAAUUUGAACUUCGCAAAACAGAUCGUUAAGUGUACGAAAUAUAUUAAGCAAAUCGAUGCGGGAUUAUUUGAUCAAGUGCCUACAUAGCAAGGGUAAUUUAUACGACUCUGGUCAAUCGCUGAACAGCAGUACGAUGAUAAAAGUGUAUUCAAUAAAUUUUAUGAAGAGUAUUUUGACAACUUCCAGUAUAAUUCGAUUGUGCCGUCCGCAGAUGCGAAAAAAAUUAAUAAAUAAAACGGAUACAAGUGAAAAUUUAGCAUCAAUCAAGUAUGAAAACGGUAGUUUUCUCGAUCAGAAUUCGUGCGAUCGUUACACUUUUACCGCGUGAUGUUAUUUCGUUUCCAUUCUUAUCGCAUAUAGUUACAUUCACUCAAGUUACAGGAGUUUAUUUCUUUCGGUGAUUACGUCAAAUUGCGCAUAUUUAUAUAAGUACAACGAUAUACUGACUCUCACGACGAAACUGGAGAAAAAAUAUCAAGACGUUUCAGAUCUGUACAUGUGGAGUCCACUCUUGAAAAAGUAUGAAUUCAAUAUGCGUUGCAGAAAAACAAAGUGAGAUCAUCGCGUGGCUAUCAAAUAUCACGUGACCGAUAAUACUAACCGCAGCUCUUCUCGAGCUUUGAUAUAUUGCCAUACUCUUCUCACUGGAAAAACAGUUUGAUUUCGGUCCGCACGGUGAACGCUAGCAUUAGUAUCUCCAGACUUCAUCCAAAGAGCAGCAACCAAUUGAGUUGAAGAACCGAAUUUAUCACCGUCAAACAAUGUUCACCCAAAUUGUAGUUAACACGUGCUUGGUAUUGGUGGGUGUGCUGACUGUCUUAUACUUGUAUAUUCGUCGCCAAUUUACUUACUGGGAGCGACUAGGCGUGCCGUACGUGAAGCCGGAUACGUUUCUGGGAAACUUUGGGGAUUCCUUUACGAAGAAGAGACCCAUGUCUGAAAUGCUGAUUGAAUUAUACAAUAAAUCCAGUGGAAAAGGGUUUACGGGUGUGUGGAACUUUUUCUCGCCAGCACUGUUUCUCGCCAAUCCCGAGGUGCUAUGCGAUAUCAUGAUAAAGAAUUUCGACGCGUGGACCGACCGUGGAGUACCUAAGAAUCCGGAGUCCGAUCCGCUUUCGCAGCACGUGGCCGCCCUGGAUGGAAAGAUGUGGAAGGACGUGAGAGCGAAACUGACGCCAACGUUCACAUCCGCGAAACUCAAGCACAUGCAUCACCUGUUCUUGGAGUGCGGGAAAGACUUGGAGAAAUAUCUGGAGUCUUUGGUUUCAAAAAAUGAGGCGAUCGAGGCCAGGGAAGUCAGCGCCAAAUUCGCCACGGACGUAAUCGGCUCCUGUGCCUUUGGGAUUCAGAUGAAUUCACUUAGUGACGAAGAUGCCGCCUUUCGUAACAUGGGGAAAAAAAUGCUCGAUGUAACAAUGGGACAGCGAUUCGCCAUUGUUGUGGUUCUGUGUUCUCCGUGGUUGUUCAAGAAACUGAAGCUAUCUCUGACACGGCCAGACGUCGAAGAGUUCUUCCUAAGAUACACCAGGGAGGCCUUCGAGUAUCGGGAAAAGAACAACGUGCAGAAGCACGACUUCAUAGAUCUUUUGAGGAAUCUCAAAAACGUGGAUCAGUCACUCGGCGAGGGUGAAACAGUAUUCGACGAUAAACUCCUGGCUGCCCAAGCGUUUGUUUUCUUUGGGGCCGGUUUCGAGACGAGCUCUACAACGAUUGGGUACGCCCUUCACGAGCUGGCUGUUAACCAGGAUAUGCAAGACCGUCUGCGAAAGGAAUUGCAUGAAAUGAAAGCCGCUAACAAGGGUGAAAUCACCUGGGAUGGUUUGCAGGGUAUGAAGUACUUGGACAUGAUAUUCCAAGAAACUCUGAGAAAAUAUCCAGUAGUUCCGCAAGUCAGCCGAGUCUCGGUAAAGCCUUACCAACUUCCUGGUACGAAUGUGGUACUACCGUCAGGAUCAAGAUGCAUAAUUCCCAUCUACGCCUUUCACCACGAUCCGCAAUUCUUUCCGAAUCCGGAAAUAUUCGAUCCAAAGAGGUUCACUGACGAGGCAAAGGCCCAGCGACGCCCUCUUACCUUUAUACCCUUCGGUGGUGGGCCCAGGAAUUGUAUAGAAGCUUUGGGAAAAUACCCAAACAUUUUAGAAACAGAGUGACAGUCGGUCAGGCCUCGUCGAGACGCCUGAUAAAAAUGUAUUUCUACUUCGGAGGCCAACAACAAUGACUCCAUUCUACGUUAUUAGCCGUGAUUCAGAAUAUUUACCAGAUCUUAAGACAUUCGAACCACAAAGGUUUAUCGACAAUGCCAAGUACAGGCGAUUGCCUUCUGUGUGCAUUCCUUUUGGAGAGGUCCCUGAUUUGCCGAACAGCUCAGACCGAAUUUGGAAUCGAUAAGAUAGCGACCGUUCUAUCUCGCUCCUUUCCUCUAAUCGUAGGAACCCCCGUUGUGGUUCUCAGCAUCCGUUUAAAUUCUGUUCCGCUCUCGCUUCCGGUUUUCGACUAUAUAAGGGAGUUCUCGCCUGAAUCGAACCGCAGUUGUCGGUCAGCUUUCAGCGAAACUAUUACGGACCGACGUUCAGCUGUACUAUGUCGCUUGUUAUCGUAUUUCAAGAAGUUAAAUUAGCAAUCUCUCAUCGACACAAUACCUUCGCUCAAUCGAUUCAUUGCGUAUAGUACAUGAGGUUUCAUCUUGCAUUUAAUGACUAUCACGAAGCGAAUACUAUCCCUUUUCUCUGCUUCUA
rnacentral:misc_RNA from 1 species